rnacentral:rRNA from 1 species
UGCAGUCAACGGUAACAGGUCUUCGGAUGCUGACGAGUGGCGGACGGGUGAGUAACGCGUAGGAAUCUGUCUUUGAGUGGGGGACAACCCAGGGAAACUUGGGCUAAUACCGCAUAAGCCCUGAGGGGGAAAGCGGGGGAUCUUCGGACCUCGCGCUGGAAGAGGAGCCUACGUCUGAUUAGCUAGUUGGUAGGGUAAAGGCCUACCAAGGCGACGAUCGGUAGCUGGUCUGAGAGGACGACCAGCCACACUGGGACUGAGACACGGCCCAGACUCCUACGGGAGGCAGCAGUGGGGAAUUUUUCGCAAUGGGGGCAACCCUGACGAAGCAAUGCCGCGUGAAUGAAGAAGGCCUUCGGGUUGUAAAGUUCUUUCGUGGAGGACGAAAAGGUGGGUGCUAAUAUCGCCUGCUGUUGACGUGAAUCCAAGAAGAAGCACCGGCUAACUCCGUGCCAGCAGCCCGGGGUAAUACA